GCCCUCGUGGUGAAACGGAUAUCACACCAGGCUUCGAACCUGGCGUUGGGGGUUCGAAUCCCUCCGAGGGCA
rnacentral:tRNA from 1 species